rnacentral:rRNA from 1 species
UACAGAGGGUGCGAGCGUUAAUCGGAAUUACUGGGCGUAAAGCGUGCGUAGACGGUUAUUUAAGUCGGAUGUGAAAGCCCCGGGCUCAACCUGGGAAUUGCAUUCGAGACUGAAUAGCUAGGGUACGGUAGAGGGAAGUGGAAUUUCCGGUGUAGCGGUGAAAUGCGUAGAUAUCUGGAGGAACACCGGUGGCGAAGGCGGCAUCCUGGACCGACACUGACGCUGAGGCGCGAAAGCCAGGGGAGCAAACGGG